AUUGCAUAAUGCAGUAGCCACUGGAUUUGCAGCAGAAACACUCUGCUACAGAACAAGUGUCUUGGUUCACAGCAAAGAGGACAAAGAAAACAGCAAGUUUUAGGGGGUUGAAUCCUGGAUUCCCCUGGCAAACACCAUUCUACUUUCCGUCUCUAUGAAUUUGACUACUCGAAGUACCUCAUUAAAAGAAGAGAAAAAACAUCAAUUAGAAAAUAGAAAAGAGCCCUCCCUGGUGAAUUCCUGCUUCUCCUCCAUGUCAUCAUAGGUGUUGAUGGUGCUUGCCUCUGGAUAAUGCUGACUUCCUCUAGAGUGGUCACCAAGGUGAAAUGUUGGUGCCAAAUGAACUUUUCUGGUUCUUCUGAAUUUCUUCCAAGGAUGGUGCAUACCUGAAUAUCCUAGAUGCCAAGGAGAGAACUUAAUUAAUAUGCAAUGGAUGCCCUAGAGUAGUAUGAGGACUUAAUUCUCUGAGGAACUCCAGGAAUCAAAGGACUCAGCAGCAUGUCACAGAGGAGGACUGAAUCACAAAUGAAGUAGAUUUAGAGGUACCUCUUUAAAGUAAUGAUGAAGCACUGAUUUUUCUAAUGUGUCCCCCAGCACCGGUGAUAAUGCCACUGUUGCUGGAGAAAUGUCACUGCUAGAGAACAGAAGACUAUUAUUCCAAAGGGUAUUUGAGACUGACUGAAUCAGGUCUGGAACAUUAUUGAAAUGAGACCCACAAAAGAAGAGAUACUGAGUAAUUCAGCAUUUCCAGUGACAUCCUUCUGGCUGUGCUUCAAAGGGAAGAUGACGCUAGAGCUGGCAGCAUGACCAGCACUGUGUAAAUCACCCAGACAGACAACAACACAACAUCCAUGAAUAGAUGGCAGAGUUAGCAAGAAAAAAUAGCUUGGAGGAUGGAAAAACCCCAAAG
rnacentral:lncRNA from 1 species